rnacentral:pre_miRNA from 14 species
UGGAAAUCAGUCUGGAGGUUCCUCAGAAAAUUGGACAUUGAACUGAAAGACCCCCAGAGCGGGGAGACCCUCACUCAAGUCUCGGGAUGAUGCGACCCCCCAAGAACUCAUGUGAGACC